rnacentral:rRNA from 1 species
CCUACGGGAGGCAGCAGUGAGGAAUAUUUGUCAAUGGGCGAGAGCCUGAACCAGCCAAGUCGCGUGCAGGAUGACGGCCCUACGGGUUGUACACUUCUUUUGUCCGGGAGCAAUUGGGUCUACGCGUGGGCUUUGCGAGAGUACCUCAAGAUAAAGCAUCGGCUAACUCCUGGCCAGCAGCCGCGGUAAUACGGAGGAUGCGACCGUUAUCAGGAUUUUUGGGGUUAAAAGGAUGCGUAGCCGGAAGAUCAAGUCAGCGGUAAAAAUUCGGGGCUAAACCCCGUCGGGCCGGGGAAACGGGUGUUCUUGAGUGGGCGAGAAGUAUGCGGAAUGCGUGGUGUAGCGGUGAAAUGCAUAGAUAUGACGCAGAACUCCGAUUGCGAAGGCAGCAUACCGGCGCCGAACUGACGCUGAAGCACGAAAGCGUGGGUAUCGAACAGGAUUAGAUACCCGAGUAGUC